UGGGGAAUAUUGGACAAUGGGCGGAAGCCUGAUCCAGCAACGCCGCGUGAGGGAUGACGGCCUUCGGGUUGUAAACCUCUUUCAGUACCGACGAAGCGCCGAUGAUGGUGGUGACGGUAGGUACAGAAGAAGCACCGGCCAACUACGUGCCAGCAGCCGCGGUAAUACGUAGGGUGCGAGCGUUGUCCGGAAUUAUUGGGCGUAAAGGGCUCGUAGGCGGUUUGUCGCGUCGGGAGUGAAAACACUGGGCUUAACUCAGUGCUUGCUUUCGAUACGGGCAGACUAGAGGCAUGCAGGGGAGAACGGAAUUCCUGGUGUAGCGGUGAAAUGCGCAGAUAUCAGGAGGAACACCGGUGGCGAAGGCGGUUCUCUGGGCAUGUCCUGACGCUGAGGAGCGAAAGUGUGGGGAGCGAACAGG
rnacentral:rRNA from 1 species